UUACUAGAGGAUUGGGGAAUUUCCGGUGUAGCGGUGAAAUGCGUAGAGAUCGGAAGGAACAUCAAUGGCGAAGGCAACAAUCUGGGGUUAAACUGACACUGAGGGACGAAAGCGUGGGUAGCAAACAGGAUUAGAUACCCUGGUAGUCCACGCUGUAAACGAUGAGUACUAGCUGUUGGGUCUGGUGUAAAAGACUUAGUGGCGCAGCUAACGCGAUAAGUACUCCGCCUGGGGACUACGGCCGCAAGGUUAAAACUCAAAGGAAUUGACGGGGACCCGCACAAGCGGUGGAGCAUGUGGUUUAAUUCGAUGCAACGCGAAGAACCUUACCUGCCCUUGACAUCCAUAGAAGAUCUGAGAGAUUGGAUUGUGCCUUCGGGAACUAUGAGACAGGUGCUGCAUGGCUGUCGUCAGCUCGUGUUGUGAAAUGUUGGGUUAAGUCCCGCAACGAGCGCAACCCUUAUUUUUAGUUGCCAUCAUUAAGUUGGGCACUCUAGAGAGACUGCCGCUGAUAAGGCGGAGGAAGGUGGGGACGACGUCAAGUCAUCAUGGCCCUUACGGGCAGGGCUACACACGUGCUACAAUGGGCAUUACAGAGGGAAGCGAAGCUGCGAGGUGGAGCGAAACUCAGAAAGGUGUUCGUAGUCCGGAUUGCUCUCUGCAACUCGAGAGCAUGAAGUCGGAAUCGCUAGUAAUCGCGGAUCAGAAUGCCGCGGUGAAUACGUUCCCGGGUCUUGUACACACCGCCCGUCACACCAUGGGAGUGGGUUGCAAAAGAAGUAGAUAGU
rnacentral:rRNA from 1 species